rnacentral:misc_RNA from 1 species
UUUCCGUAGGUGAACCUGCGGAAGGAUCAUUACUGAGUCGUCGACACGAGUUGUUGCUGGUCCCUGAACAGGGGACACGUGCACGCUCUGUUUACACAUCCACUCACACCUGUGCACCCUCUGUAGUUCUAUGGUCUGGGGGGCCCUGCCUCCCUUCUGUGGUUCUGCAUCUUUACACACACACCGUAACAAAGUCUUAUGGAAUGUACACCGCGUUUAACGCAAUACAAUACAACUUUCAGCAACGGAUCUCUUGGCUCUCGCAUCGAUGAAGAACGCAGC